rnacentral:rRNA from 1 species
ACGGGUAGCCGGCCUGAGAGGGUGAUCGGCCACACUGGGACUGAGACACUGCCCAGACUCCUACGGGAGGCUGCAGUCGAGAAUCAUUGUCAAUGCACGAAAGUGUGAACAUGCGACGCCGCGUGGAGGAAGACGGCCUUUGGGUUGUAAACUCCUGUCAGCAGGGAAGAAGGGUGGCAUUGCUAACAGUAAUGUCAUUUGACGGUACCUGCAGAGGAAGUCACGGCUAACUCUGUGCCAGCAGCCGCGGUAAUACAGAGGUGGCGAACGUUGUUCGGAUUUACUGGGCGUAAAGGGUCCGCAGGCGGCUUGGUGUGUCGGAUGUGAAAGCUCACGGCUUAACCGUGGAAUUGCAUUCGAAACUGCCGAGCUAGAGUAUUGGAGGGGAGAAGGGAACACUUGGUGUAGCGGUGAAAUGCGUAGAUAUCAAGUGGAACACCGGUGGCGAAGGCGCUUCUCUGGACAAAUACUGACGCUCAUGGACGAAAGUUAGGGUAGCGAAAGGGAUUAGAUACCCCUGUAGUCCUAACCGUAAACGGUGUGCACUAGACGUGGGUGGAUUUACCCCCAUCCGUGUCUGAGCUAACGCAUUAAGUGCACCGCCUGGGGAGUACGGUCGCAAGAUUAAAACUCAAAGGAAUUGACGGGGACCCGCACAAGCGGUGGAGCAUGUGGCUUAAUUCGAUGCAACGCGAAGAACCUUACCUGGGCUUGACAUAUAGCUGCAUACGACCUGAAAGGGACGUAGCCUUCGAGGGUGCUAUACAGGUGCUGCAUGGCUGUCGUCAGCUCGUGCCGUGAGGUGUUGGGUUAAGUCCCGCAACGAGCGCAACCCCUAUGUUUAGUUGCCAGCACGUAAUGGUGGGAACUCUAGACAGACUGCCUGUGAAAACAGGAGGAAGGUGGGGAUGACGUCAAGUCAGUAUGGUCCUUAUGCCCAGGGCUGCACACGUGCUACAAUGGGUGAUACAAUAGGAAGCUAAGCCGCGAGGUGGCGCAAAUCCUCAAAAUCACCCCCAGUUCGGAUUGGAGUCUGAAACUCGACUCCAUGAAGUUGGAAUCGCUAGUAAAGGUGUAUCAGCUACGACACCUUGAAUACGUUCCCGGGUCUUGUACACACCGCCCGUCACAUCAUGGGAGUCGGUUGUACCCGAAGUCGCUGAUCCAACCUGUUAAAAGGAGGAAGGCGCCGAAGGUGUGAUUGAUAACUGGGAUGAAGUCGAAACAAGGUA